CAGUAGCCGCGGUAAUACGAAGGGGGCUAGCGUUGUUCGGAAUUACUGGGCGUAAAGCGCACGUAGGCGGAUUGUUAAGUUAGGGGUGAAAUCCCAGGGCUCAACCCUGGAACUGCCUUUAAUACUGGCAAUCUCGAGUCCGAGAGAGGUGAGUGGAAUUCCGAGUGUAGAGGUGAAAUUCGUAGAUAUUCGGAGGAACACCAGUGGCGAAGGCGGCUCACUGGCUCGGUACUGACGCUGAGGUGCGAAAGCGUGGGGAGCAAACAGGAUUAGAUACUCCAGUAGUCCCUGUCUCUUAUAC
rnacentral:rRNA from 1 species